rnacentral:rRNA from 1 species
UAAAACGUAGGAGGCGAGCGUUAUCCGGAUUUACUGGGUGUAAAGCGCGUGCAGGCGGUUGGAUAAGUUGGGUGUGAAAGCUCCUGGCUCAACUGGGAGAGGUUGCUCAAGACUGUUCGACUAGAGCGUGGUAGGGGAAGGCGGAAUUCCGGGUGUAGUGGUGAAAUGCGUAGAUAUCCGGAGGAACACCAGUGGCGAAAGCGGCCUUCUAGACCAUGACUGACGCUCAGACGCGAAAGCUAGGGGAGCAAACGGG